UACGUAGGGCGCAAGCGUUGUCCGGAAUUAUUGGGCGUAAAGAGCUCGUAGGCGGCUUGUCACGUCGAUUGUGAAAGCCCGAGGCUUAACCUCGGGUCUGCAGUCGAUACGGGCUAGCUAGAGUGUGGUAGGGGAGAUCGGAAUUCCUGGUGUAGCGGUGAAAUGCGCAGAUAUCAGGAGGAACACCGGUGGCGAAGGCGGAUCUCUGGACCAUUACUGACGCUGAGGAGCGAAAGCGUGGGGAGCGAACAGG
rnacentral:rRNA from 1 species